UCCGUCUAAGAGUGUGCUCUCUCAACCC
rnacentral:piRNA from 1 species